rnacentral:misc_RNA from 1 species
GAUGAAGAACGUAGCGAAAUGCGAUAAGUAAUGUGAAUUGCAGAAUUCAGUGAAUCAUCGAAUCUUUGAACGCACCUUGCGCUCCUUGGUAUUCCGAGGAGCAUGCCUGUUUGAGUGUCAUUAAUAUAUCAACCUCUUCAGCUUAUGCUUGUUGAGUGUUGGAUGGUGGGGGUUUGCUGGUGUCUUAUGAAGUCAGCUCCUCUGAAAUGCAUUAGCGGAACAAUUUGUUGACCGUUCAUUGGUGUGAUAAAAAUAUCUACGCUAUUGACGUCAGUCAGUUCAGCUUCUAACAGUCCAUUGACUUGGACAAAUUUUUCAUUAAUGUGACCUCAAAUCAGGUAGGACUACCCGCUGAACUUAAGCACAUCAAUAAGCGGAGGA